CGAUGGCCGGGGAGAGCAUCCAAGGGAGUGGACGCAGGGCACCGGGCGCGCAGGAAAAGUAGGAAGCUUCACUGUGCCGCUGACAUCGGGAGGAUACCGUCGCAAACGCAAAGCAAAGGGAGACGCAGAGCAGAGAGGCUGCCUGCGAAGCGCCACAGCGCGUGACGAGACGGCAUGGCCGCCACGGCGUACUCCACGGCGCCUCUCGGCGGGGCGCGCCUCGCCGGCGCCGGCGCCGCCGCCGUGCCGUCCUCCGUCCUCCUCCCGCGGCGUAACCUGACGCCUCUCCGGCUCCAAGGUGGGUGAGAUCAUGGAGCUUCCCAAGAUCAUGGAGCUCGUCGGGCUUGGAUACACCGGAUGGUUCGUCUACCGCUACCUUCUCUUCAAGGAAAGCAGGAAAGAGUUGGCUGAAGACAUCGAGUCACUCAAGAAAAAGAUUGCUGGGACAGAGUAGUAAAAUGUUGCUCCCAGGAAUUUCUUUUGGAUGAUUCUUGCAAGAGCCCAUUACCUUUACUUAGAGUAUCAUUGCCGGCCUUUGCAUUUUGCAUACCUGAGCAGUUACCAGAGACCGUGACGUCCCAAGAAGCUUAAUUAGUUGCAUUGUAAUGGAAUGGAACAGAGACAAUGUACAAACUUUAUGAUGUCAGGGUACCACCUUUAUCGCCUCAUUUUGCAACCAAUAUCUACUGUUUA